GUGCUCACUUCAGCAGCACAUAUACUAAAAGUGGAACGACACAGAGAAGAUUAGCAUGGCCCCUGCGCAAGGAUGACACUCAAAGCUGCCUAGGAAACAGUUUCUAU
ensembl:snRNA U6 U6 spliceosomal RNA